CUUUGGAAAAAUAAUUUUGUGCUGGCUUGAAAAGUUCCUGGAAAAUUCACUUGUGUGAUUGUUGUUUUGAGAAGACUGAAGAUCCAUCUAUACAGAGAGAUGCAGGAACUACUGGAUGAAGGGAAAUGGAUAUGCCCUGUGGAAGCAUGAGUGGCAUGAGGGUGACUUAGACUCUGUGCAAGUCUGACAGUGCUGUAGGGGGGAGGAACUGGGGCUCCCAGCUCUCCCCCCUGCACCCUACUGGUUGAAUUGCAAAUGGAGUACAGCCAGGAAGACCACCUGCAAACAUGGAGUUCAAAGAGUACAGGUUACCUAAAUGGCCCUGGAGUGAGCUGACUUAUUGUACAGGAUCACAAAACAUGCAGGAACAUGAAGAGAUCUUGCCAAGUUGUGUAAAGAGAGAAAUGGAUAGGUAAUGAUGAAAUACAAGGAAACAGUUUGGCUGUGAUGCCGCAUGAGGAUGCUCCGUCUUGCCUGGAAAAUAAAGGUGACACAAUGCCCAUUUUUUUCUUCGGUGUUUGGAAAAUGGCUGUCUGUAAUUUCAAGUGAUCAUCCUAGUGAUGUCAUGUCUUGAUUUCUUUCCCUACCUCUUACAUUCUCCCUAAAGUAUCAUCUGUGUAACUACUUUAAUGUGUUUCAGUUGCUCAGUGUUAAAUAGCCUUCCAAUGAUAAGACUUUUAGCAUUGUUACUCAUGUACAUCAUUUCCCCUGAUUUAAGAUGUUCGCUGACUCCUCAGUGAUGCAGGGUAAGCGGAGAUCUGACUGGGCUUCACACUGUCCUAAGUGAAAAUUCUUCUCAUUGAGUGUGAUGACCAAAAUUUUGAGAUUGGGAUUCUGACAUUAUAUUCUGUAGAUGUGAUUGAAAAUUUGCUGAAUUUUUGGCAAACUAUUUGCUAGUUACAAUAUAGGGUAAUUCUGUUUUUGAAAGUGAACACAAUGCUGCACUAACUUGGGGAAGUAGCUUGCUCUCUCGCUUUCAUGCUCUUUAGGGAACUGGCAUGUUUGUAGUGUGACUGUAAAUAACCUGUCUUCAGAUGACAGGUUCUGGUUCUUAUUCUUCUGAAGUUCACGUUUUCUUGUCUCUGAGGGGUCACCUGAAAUACCUGGGAGAUGUGGUUGCUUCACUGGAAAGGGAGACUUCCAUAAAUGUUAGAAAAGAGAAGACAUUUAUUGUAUUUAUCUAAUAAAUAGUUCUCUCUUGUGCGUAAGAUAAAGCUUUGUAAAUGUAGGGAAUGCAUAAUUCCCAUAACAAAAUGUCCCAAUUAUUUUGGCAUGGUCAAGGUGUAUUUUAUGAAGGUGGGUGUUGUUCCAGUUCUUACUCUGUUUGGUUUAAUUCCAGGAGACACACAGUCUGUGUCUUUUUGAAUUUCAGUGUUACUCUUUCCUUUUCAUAGCCAACUUUUUUUCCCUUUCUGAAAUGUGUAGCUUGGAAACGAGGUCCUUUUAAUGAAGCUUUUGAGUCUCACAAAAUAUGAUUAAUCUGAUUAGUGGUUCAGACUCUUUUUAUGCUUACAUUAACUAACACAAAGAGCCCCCCUACAGGUUAAAGUUUAAAUGUGGAUUACCAGAUAAAGCUAGUCCUGACGAGGUUUCUAUGGUGCAAGGAAAAAUUGAAUUUGCCUUUCACCUCAUUUCAGCCUUUGUCAUCCUGGUUUUUGCCCCUCUCUCUCAUUCACAGUGAGGAUAUUAAUUUUGCAGUAAAAUCUUUAAGCAAUUAUGCAGAUAGCUUGGAAAAAGCAACACACAAACACAAUAAGAAAAGCUUAACUGAAAAAUGGACCCCAGAUAUUCAUUAAAACCAGAUGGCAACAUUCCUAGCAGCAUAACUUUAGAUGUUUGGACUAAAUUUGUAUUAGUGUGCCAAAAUCAGAUGACAAAAAUGAACCACUGUCA